UACGGAGGGGGCUAGCGUUGUUCGGAAUUACUGGGCGUAAAGCGCACGUAGGCGGCUUUGUAAGUUAGAGGUGAAAGCCCGGAGCUCAACUCCGGAAUUGCCUUUAAGACUGCAUCGCUAGAACGUCGGAGAGGUGAGUGGAAUUCCGAGUGUAGAGGUGAAAUUCGUAGAUAUUCGGAAGAACACCAGUGGCGAAGGCGACUCACUGGACGACUGUUGACGCUGAGGUGCGAAAGCGUGGGGAGCAAACAG
rnacentral:rRNA from 1 species